CCUUGCCAUGUUUAGGCUCUUGGUAAAACCCAGGCUUCGGGGAAUGUUGCUUUUUCAAGAUAUAUGCCUCUUCAAAUAGGUCUGGCUUUCAGUGGAUCUCGUGAAUGUCCUGGACUUUCUUUUGAGGAGCGAUGGAACUGACUCCCUUCACUGACUCCUCCUUGGGGCUCUCUUCCAGGGCUCUAGGCAAGCUCCCCCUCGACUGGCCAACGUUUCCCAAAGUCUCUUUGUUCUAAUUCCCAAAGCUGUUGCCAGAGCCCUUGAUAUAGUUCAAGGCGGCAUAUGCCCCGUUGGCCGCCUCCAUGGUUCCCAGAGAUUCCCAUGGUCAGAGGCUCAGCAGCAGAUGAAAGUCUGUGGUGUCACCUGGUGCGGAGCCCGCCACGGAUUCACCCGCAAGGUGCUGAGAGUGGCAACGCUCACAGGGUCCUUAUAAAUUCCGACGAAGUUAGGCUGGUCUCCCGGUGCAGUUCGCCCACUUCCAUUACUCUUUCCCUGCUCCCCUAUUUCAGUGCCACUCGAAUGCUUUUCGUGCGCCUGUAGAAUCAGCAUCACCCAGACACUUACAAGAAAUGCGUAAUCCAUGGCCCACCUGGGCCCGCUGCGGCAGAGUGCACAUUGUGAACAAUACCCCCAAGUGAGUCAGAUUCACGUGAAUGAUCAAGAAGUACCAGCCUAUCUGUUCUCCACCUUGGUCGUCGUAAAUUUUUCUCACAGUACUUGAUUCUUGAUUCCCCCAGUGGAUGACUCUAUCAGGCAAGGUCCAAUCAGGAACACAGAAAACACUCUACAGAUUUCAAACAGAAGGACUAUGGAAAUCUGGUUACACAGGUGAUGGAAGAGCCAGGAAGCCAUACAGGGGUGGGUGAAAAAACCUGGUGAUUAACAAUAUGGCAGAAGCCACGGCCUCCUUAUGCUGCAGGGACCGAGGGAGGAGGCAACAUGACUGGAGCAUGGAUGCCAUGCUCACCUAGCAGGAGAUGGGCCCUCAGAGAAGAUGCCGCUGCUGGGAGAGAGAGCACAAUACCUUGCUUCCUCCCACUCUUUCACCCUCUCCUCUCCGUGACCUCACAUUAAAUGUGGGCAGAGGUCAGCUGACAAGAGAGCCUUGGAAACCCAGCCUGCCUUUCAGACAACAACAGGGCAAAGAACGCAUCUGAGGGCAAACAGGCUAAACACGGGCACAGUGACCUUACCUCCUCCUGCUUCACCUACACGUCCUUCUUCAUGACCUCAAAACAUCUGCUUUGAGCCAUUUUUCCUUCCUUCUGUCCGAUCUCAGAAAAAGAGAGGUAGCCUUUGGUUUUUCUACGAGAGUUAAAAGGUAUGAAAGGUAACUAAAAGCCAAGAAAACACAAGACUCACGGUUUAAGCCCUCAGCUCCGAAGGGCUCUAGGACAUGCGGGAAUGAUCUUUGGGAAUCAGGCGGCCAGGGUGCUUUGGAAAUCCUGCUAUGAAAUGUGGGGAAACUGCCUGUGGAAGCCCCCAAGAAAAAAUGUCCCUGCUAUGAAAAAGGUGCCCAUGCCUUUCUUGAUUUUUAUAAAUGAUCAAAACAGACUCACAUGUUAACUAAAGAUGGUCAGGCUGUUUCUAUUAGAUAAAUCGCCGACAUUUAGACUUAAUGUGCACUCAUUAAAAUUAAAACCAAGAACAAUCCAUCUUCCCCCCUCAGUGCCUUCUCACUGCUGUCUGUCUCCCUCUUAUGGACCGGGGAGUUGAGGCCAGGGAUAGCAAAGCCUGCAACUGUUGUCUUCUUUACAGCGAGGAGUGGUAAAGGGCAUGGAAACAAUCUCAUUGGUGCCCUGAAUCCUGCCGGCCUUCCACUACAUUGGCUUUCUGACUUGGGAGGACUCAGCUGAAUGAAAAUUGCUCACCUUUUCAGAAACAGGCAGGAGAGCGCGCCUGCACCUGCCGCUCCAUCCUUGAAAAGAGGCGUGCAUUGACUGACCGACUCUGUGCUCACCCAGAGACGCUCUGUGACCUGGAUUGCAGGCUUUGCUGCCUGAGGACCUUGGUGGUGUCAGCCCGAGUCCCUGAUGCGCCCAUAGAGCCCAGCCCUGUGCCUGGCAUGUGGCAGAAACCCGAUAUUUGCUGAAUAAACACAGUAACUCAAAGUCAAAGACCUCAGUCACCACGUACUGACUGCACCAGUUCCAGCUUUUCAUGGAGGCCAGGAGUCUUGGUCCGGCCAUUUGUAAGACGGAGAUACGGUGCCAGCCCCCAUUUACUCCACAGUAUUAGUGCUGAGAUCAGAUAAGAUCGUAUCUGUGAGUUUGUUCUAGUAAGCAAAUAAAUUGUUUUUGUAAUGAUCUAAAUAAAAAGCUUCACACACCAAUGCCUGCACACACAUUUAUUAAGAUGUAGCCAAGUGAGAUGUGUCCGCUCCUUCUCUUGACUACAGUCUCUGUUGAUGCGUAACAACGCCCAAGGGCUGGGUGAACUACAUAA